rnacentral:rRNA from 1 species
GUGACGGAGCGACGCCGCGUGGGUGAUGAAGGCCUUCGGGUUGUAAAGCCCUGUCAGCUAUUAAGAAAGGCGGGUGGUGAACAACCAUCCCGUUUGACAAAAGUAGCAAAGGAAGCACCGGCUAACUACGUGCCAGCAGCCGCGGUAAUACGUAGGGUGCAAACGUUGUUCGGAAUCACUGGGCAUAAAGCGCGCGUAGGCGGUCUGAUAAGUCAGGCGUGAAAUCCCCCGGCCCAACCGGGGAACUGCGCUUGAUACUGUCGGGCUAGAGUGCAGGAGGGGAGAGUGGAAUUCCUGGUGGAGCGGUGAAAUGCGUUGAUAUCAGGAGGAACGCCGGUGGCGAAAGCGACUCUCUGGUCUGCAUCUGACGCUGAGGCGCGAAAGCUAGGGGAGCAAACGGGAUUAGAUACCCCGGUAGUCCUAGCCCUAAACGAUGGGCACUAAGUAGAGGGGUUUU